rnacentral:rRNA from 2 species
UGUCGAUGAAGAGCGCAGCAAACUGUGUGAAUUAAUGUGAACUGCAACCUGCCAUGAACAUCGACAACUUGAUUGCACAUUGCGGCCAUGGGUUAGCCUGUGGCCACGCCUGUCCGAGAGUC